rnacentral:misc_RNA from 1 species
GAUGAAGAACGCAGCGAAAUGCGAUAAGUAAUGUGAAUUGCAGAAUUCAGUGAAUCAUCGAGUUUUUGAACGCAUAUUGCGCCCUCUGGUAUUCCGGGGGGCAUGCCUGUUCGAGCGUCUCAGGGACGAACCCUCGCGCGGGUGUACGCGCGGUCGUGGCUGCGGUGGCGUGCCCGAGGCGGCGGCCACCGCGCUGGAAUCCAUGGGCGGACGCCUGCCGCGUGGCCGAGCGUGAUAUGACGCAUUGGCGCUCGCACGCGGCGAGGCUGCCAGCCCUGGCCCGUCUGUCGGGCGGGGGAGAGCAAGACACGUGAACUCCUCGAAUCAGGUAGGGAUACCCGCUGAACUUAAGCAUAUCAAUAAGCGGAGGA